rnacentral:rRNA from 1 species
GGCCUACACAUGCAAGUCGACGGUAACAGGAAAGUGCUUGCACUUUUGCUGACGAGCGGCGGACGGGUGAGUAAUGCCUAGGGAUCUGCCCAGUCGAGGGGGAUAACAGUUGGAAACGACUGCUAAUACCGCAUACGCCCUACGGGGGAAAGGAGGGGACCUUCGGGCCUUUCGCGAUUGGAUGAACUUAGGUGGGAUUAGCUAGUUGGUAAGGUAAUGGCUUACCAAGGCGACGAUCCCUAGCUGUUCUGAGAGGAUGAUCAGCCACACUGGGACUGAGACACGGCCCAGACUCCUACGGGAGGCAGCAGUGGGGAAUAUUGCACAAUGGGGGAAACCCUGAUGCAGCCAUGCCGCGUGUGUGAAGAAGGCCCUAGGGUUGUAAAGCACUUUCAGCGAGGAGGAAAGGUAAGUAGUUAAUAACUGCUUACUGUGACGUUACUCGCAGAAGAAGGACCGGCUAACUCC